rnacentral:rRNA from 1 species
UACAGAGGUCCCAAGCGUUGUUCGGAUUCACUGGGCGUAAAGGGUGCGUAGGCGGUCGGGUAAGUCUGAUGUGAAAUCUCACAGCUUAACUGUGAAACUGCAUUGGAUACUAUCCGGCUCGAGGAAUGGAGGGGAGACUGGAAUACUUGGUGUAGCAGUGAAAUGCGUAGAUAUCAAGUGGAACACCAGUGGCGAAGGCGAGUCUCGUGACAUUUCCUGACGCUGAGGCACGAAAGCCAGGGGAGCAAACGGG